rnacentral:lncRNA from 1 species
CAGCCCCCACCCCACCCGGUGGAAGUCCGAGGCCUGAGGGGGGGCAUCGAGCGGGGCGUGGGAGGCCCGCACGCUCCCCACCCCCAGCCGCGACCCGGAGGAGGGGAACGUGCCGGGAGGCUCGAGUCCCCCUCCCAGAGUGCUCUGGGCCGGAGAAACCUCCCGCAGGCUCCCGGGCCAGGCGUGCAAGGCCCCCUCUCCUGCCAGGGCCCAGGACGCUGCGGGCCCCAGCGGAGGGGAAGGGGACUAAGUAGGGGAAGAAGCUGUAAACAGCCCCAGCGUCCGGGCCUCGCCUCGAAGAGCCGCGCUUCCCAGGCCCAGCCGCGGGCCGCCCAGGCCCCCAGCCUGCCCCGGGGCCGCCGCGCCCGGGGUCCGGGACACCGGAGGGGAGUCGGGUCCCCUCCCCGGAGAGCUCCGGGAGCUCGCGGAGCGGCCCCAGGAGCAGAGAAGGGGGAAGUCAGGACUUACCUGUCAUUACUUUCUACGCCAUCUUGGAUCCACUUGUCAACGUCCCCACAAAGCAUUAUGGUGUGUGCAUCCAAGCCCAACCUUGUCAAAUACACCGCCUGUUGCCUGAGCUGGGACGGCCUGCCGACUCUUCUCCCUGCCCCUCCUGGAUACCUACAAUGCAUCCUCCACCUGACCAACCCUGUGAUAUUUUAUGAAUGUAAAUCAGAUCGAGACUUCUCUGCUGAAACCUUGGAAUAAAACCCAGAUUCCCAACCCUGGCCUACAAGCUCCUGUGUGAGGUGGUCCCACCUUCCCUCACCAGCAGUGGUCCAGGCUGGCCUUCUCUCUUUCCCUGCAGCGCCCCAAGCUUCCUUCCAGUGAGAACCCUAUUCCCCCAGAUCUUCUGAUUAUCUUUUCUUUGACAGAGUCUUGUUCUGUCGACCAGGCUAGAGUGCAGUAGCGCGAUCUCAAUUCACUGCAACCUCCGCCUUCUAGGUUCAAGCUGUUCUCUGCCUCAACCUCCUGAGUAGCUGGGAUUACAGGCGUCCGCCACCGCGCCCGGCUCAUUUUUGUAUUUUUAGUAGAGACAGGGUUUCACCAUCUUGGCCAGGGUGAUCUUGAACUACUGACCUCGUGAUCCAUGCGCCUUGGCCUCCCAAAGUGCUGGGAUUACAGGCGUGAGCCACCACGCCCGACCCAUCAUCUUUUCAUCAUAUUUAGGUCCCCUCAAAGAGGACUUUUGUGAUCCCCCUACCCAGACCAAGUCACUCUGAACACUUGACCUGUGUUAGAAGUUCUCUUGUUUAGGUCGGACGCUGUGGCUCAUGCCUGUAAUCCCAGCACUUUGGGAGGCCAAGGUGGGUGGAUCACAAGGUCAGGAGUUCAAGACCAGCCUGGCCAAGAUGGUGAAACCCUGUCUCUACUAAAGGUACAAAAAUUACAGCGCGCCUGUAAUCCCAGCUACUCGGGAGGCUGAGGCAGGAGAAUUGCUUGAACCUGGGGGGCCAAGGUUGCAGUGAGCCAAGAUCGUGCCACUGCCCUCCAGCCUGGGUGACAGAGUGAGAAUUCCAUCUCAAAAAAAAAGUUCUCUUGUUUGCCUGUUGUUAGUUGUUUCUUAUCUGCCCCGCCCCCAUUUGAUCAUAUGCUCCCUCUGGGCACAGGCUCUGUCUGGCUUAUUUGCCUCAGUGACUAGACCAGGGCCUGGCACAUACAUAGACGCUCACCAAGUAUUAGUCGAGUACAUGACCAAACUUCUCUCAGGGAUGGGCGUGUUGAUGAAAAGGAGUGCUAAAGUGUGAAGUGAGAUGCUGAGGGCCCUGCCUCGCAUCUCUUCAGACCACUGACCACACACAGCUAGAGGCAGGCAGAAAGGAACAGUGUUGAGGGAAAACAGGUCCCUUGGCCACCACUGAUUUAGCUCAAUUCUGAUUCUGAUCUCAUGAACACACACAGCCCUAACUAACUGAUCCCCCCGACAUCACAUCCCUCUUCCUUCCCACAUUUUUUCUUUCUCCUCUGCUCCCACUGGCCGUGGCUUCUUUUCUUUUCUUUUUUUUUUUUUUUUUUGAAACAGUGUCUUUCUCUGUCACCCAGGCCGGAGUGCAGUGGCGCGAUCUUGGCUCACUGCAACCUCCACCUCCUGGGUUCAAGCGAUUCUCCUGCCUCAGCCUCCCGAAUGCUGGCACCACAGGCACACACCACCACGCCCAGGUAAUUUUUGUAUUUUUAGUAGAGACAGGGUUUCACCAUGUUAACUAGGCUGGUCUCGAACUCCUAGCCUGAAGUGACCCACCCGCCUCGGCUU